AUUCUGUGAUUUUUCUCUUAAGC
rnacentral:piRNA from 1 species